AGGGUUUGAUUAUGGCUCAGAACGUACGCUGGCGGCACGCCUAACACAUGCAAGUCGAACGAAGUAGCAAUACUUAGUGGCAGACGGGUGAGUAACAUGUAGGUAUCUGCCCUUUGGCCUGGAAUAACACGAGGAAACUUGUGCUAAUACCGGAUAAGUCUUUACGGAGAAAGCUUUAUGCACCAUUGGAUGAGCCUGCACUUGAUUAGUUUGUUGGUGGGGUAAUGGCCUACCAAGACUGUGAUCAAUAGCUGAUUUGAGAGGAUGAUCAGCCACAUUGGGACUGAGACACGGCCCAAACUCCUACGGGAGGCAGCAGUGGGGAAUCUUGCACAAUGGAGGAAACUCUGAUGCAGCGAUGCCGCGUGAGUGAAGAAGGCCCUUGGGUUGUAAAGCUCUUUCGUCGGGGAAGAAAAUGACUGUACCCGAAUAAGAAGGUCCGGCUAACUUCGUGCCAGCAGCCGCGGUAAUACGAAGGGACCUAGCGUAGUUCGGAAUUACUGGGCUUAAAGAGUUCGUAGGUGGUUGAAAAAGUUAGUGGUGAAAUCCCAGAGCUUAACUCUGGAACUGCCAUUAAAACUUUUCAGCUAGAGUAUGAUAGAGGAAAGCAGAAUUUCUAGUGUAGAGGUGAAAUUCGUAGAUAUUAGAAAGAAUACCAAUUGCGAAGGCAGCUUUCUGGAUCAUUACUGACACUGAGGAGCGAAAGCAUGGGUAGCGAAGAGGAUUAGAUACCCUCGUAGUCCAUGCCGUAAACGAUGUGUGUUAGACGUUGGAAAUUUAUUUUCAGUGUCGCAGGGAAACCGAUAAACACACCGCCUGGGAGAGUACGACCGCAAGGUUAAAACUCAAAUGAAUUGACGGGGACCCGCACAAGUAGUGGAGCAUGUGGUUUAAUUCGAAGAUACGCGCAGAACCUUACCAACACUUGACAUGUUCGUCGCGACUCUAAGAGAUUAGAGUUUUCGGUUCGGCCGGACGAAACACAGGUGCUGCAUGGCUGUCGUCAGCUCGUGUCGUGAGAUGUUGGGUUAAGUCCCGCAACGAGCGCAACCCUCACUUUUAGUUGCCAUCAUUAAGUUGGGCACUCUGAAAGAACUGCCAGUGAUAAGCUGGAGGAAGGUGGGGAUGACGUCAAGUCCUCAUGGCCCUUACGUGUUGGGCUACACACGUGCUACAAUGGUAUCUACAACAGGAAGCAAGACUGCGAAGUUAAGCAAAUCCCUAAAAGAUACCUCAGUUCGGAUUGCACUCUGCAACUCGAGUGCAUGAAGCUGGAAUUACUAGUAAUCGUGGAUCAGCGUGCCACGGUGAAUGCGUUCCCGGGUCUUGUACACACCGCCCGUCACACCAUGGGAGUUGGUUCUACCUUAAGGCAAGGUUUCAAACCCUUGACCACGGUAUAGUCAGCGACUGGGGUGAAGUCGUAACAAGGUAGCC
rnacentral:rRNA from 2 species